GCUCUUCGGGCUGCCGGGAGACCCCUGCCCACGCUGGAGCCGGGCGCCGGGUCCAGGGAGGGCGUGAGUGUGAGUGGGUGGGGGUGGAGAGGGCGUGGGCCUAAGAGAGUGUCCUCCAGACCGUGGGACUCCUACCGCCCUGUCUUCUCUGCCCCCUGCCCUUUUCUUCCUUCCCUACUUUGCUAAUAUUAUGUAGACCGACCUUCAGUGCAGGACAAGGCUUUGUUGUUUUUUUAAGAAAACUUACUAUGUUGCUUUGCUUUGGGGUUUUGUUUUCGAUUCAAGGAUUAAGGGAACACAUCCGGCUCCCUUUUGCUAAUUAGGCCUCAGACCACCUCCUGUCUCAGAGCUAGUCCAGAGACCAGACACCUGCUGAUGUGUUUCCCAAUCACCCCCAAACCUAGCUACUCAAGCCUAAUCCCAGCUUUCCUGGCUCGACGCGGGCAUGUUCAUAUAUAUAUAUAUUCUGACGGUCACAGCCCCAUCAGCUGGGGUUUCCCGGGGUCAGAAAAUAGCUAUCGAUUAACCUAUUAGGAUAGUUGCAGAGAAAUAAAAAGGACGUAAAAUAACAGGGAACCUAUAAACAAAGAAGUCAUAACUGGCUGUUGGAGUUGUUAAACGACUUAGCACAGAAAAAGUCGGAAAUGAGCUGGAAAUGGAACGGGUCUUGGCAGCGGCCUGGCAUAGGCAAACCCUUCAAGACUUAACUUCUGUAGGUACCUGCGUCAAGGAAGAGGCGAGAAGGUGUCCAGCGCACAUGGAGUUUCCAUGACGAGGAAUGUCAGCGACGUUGUUCUCGGGGUUACACCUGACCCUAAAUCGCAUGUCUGAGUUGAUUUCUGCUGCUGCACCACUUGUGACCCGCUGGCUCAUAAAAACAUCUACUACGUUGACUAGACCAAGUCUUCUCGCAAAACCGACAGGAGCUGCGAGUCGGGGCUGGCUGGCUGUCACACUAGGCAAGAGGUUACAGUGGCAACUGCCCAAACAACCCAGAGAAAGGUGGGGAGGCAAAGAAAACACAAUCUAAAUUUAUAAAUUUAGGGAUGCCUUUUGCCCAACUUGGAUUGCCAGGCGAUAGCCGCAGGCGCUCAAGGCUCCGCGCAGACCGCACCGCGGUCUUGAUGGCCAGGCCUCUCGUGGAAUGGUGCGUGCCUGGCUCCACGGCUGCUUUCGGUGCUCCUUUUGAGGUAGCCUCCAAAUGAGCCUAAUUUCGAUUUCUCCGCUGGCCUGAACUGGCUCAGGAGACUUUCUCCGUGUCAGCUGUUGGCAGCCUCUCCCCCUCCGCCAAGGCCGGAUCUGGGCGGUCCAUUCCCGUGUGUCUCCUUGGAACCUCUCUAGGGAAGGGGGUGGUGAAGAACUCCCAGCUGCCGGUUCCAUUUGUUGCGCCUUUU